GGCUGUAGCUCAGCGGUAGAGCGCUUGCCUCGCACAUGUGAGCCCCUGGGUUCGAUUCCCAGCACGACA
rnacentral:tRNA from 1 species